AUUGAUGGUGGGCGUUCUGGUGCUUCCGCAAGGGAGUGAAAAGGGAAGCCGGUGCAAUUCCGGCGCUGCCCCCGCAACUGUCAGCGGCGAGCCCCCGCCCCGAACCGCCACCGGAACCGGCAUCGCCCGGGCCGGGAAGGCGGGCGGACCGGCCGAGACCCGCAAGCCAGGAGACCUGCCAGCGCGCCGAACCGCCC
rnacentral:ncRNA from 1 species